rnacentral:tRNA from 1 species
UGGGCUGUAGCUCAGUGGUAGAGAGCCCGCCGUGCGCGUGUGAGGCACUGGGUUCGAUUCUCAGCACCACAU